CCUGCGUCUCCAUGGAGUCGAACCCGGGUCUAUUGCUUGGAAGGCAAUUAUCCUAACCGUUGGACUACAAACGCCAUUAUUGAGAAGGAUUCUCGUGUGCCCACCAAGUGUUUGGAAAAAGGUGUGAAAGGACUGCUGCAAAGUACAAAUUUCUUGCUGCGGCGCUGUGAGCCUGAGGAUUUGAAUCAUCUGAUAAUCUAAUAUCAGAAUCUCCAUUCCCAUGGUAGCUUUGAUACAAACAGAAGCAAAAAAGAAAAAGAUUGGAAGCCUGUCAGACAGCAAGAGACCAUCCCAACCAUGAACCCAUGGGUGAGAACGAUCCUCUGCGGCUCCGCCCAAUGAAGGUUGGGGCUGUUAAUCACGCUCUAGUCUCUUGGCCAUAGUUCAUCCACCAUGGCUUAGUUUCCUGUCUCCUUAGAUCUCAAGGAUAAGGAGGUACGAGCCUAUAGAACAGAUCCUGUUCAAGUAAGGUCAUGCCAAUUCGUCUCCUUCAGCAACUUAUAUUGUGGUUCAGGCUUAAUAGGCUUCCAGUGUGGGACAAAUUUCCAUCUUUUAACAGCGUGGUCUUUGAGGUUGUUUUGUCCAGUAAAUGUUGAUUGAAUUCUUUCUGAUCUUGGUGAAGUUUAAUCACUGCACAGAAUAAAAUGAUUGAAUAGAGAAUAUCACAAAUCAUUAAAAUAGGCACUGCAACAGAUGCGUUAAGGUGCGUCUACCGGGAGUCGAACCCGGGUCUAUUUCUUGGAAGGCAAUUAUCCUAACCGCUGGAGUACAAACGCCAUUGUUGAGAAGGAUUCUCGUGUGCCCACCAAGUGUUUGGUAAAAGCUGUGAAAGGGUUGCUACAAAUUACAGAUUUCUUACUGUGCCCACCAAUUGUUUGAUAAAAGGUGUCACAUGGUUGCACCAAAGCACAGAUUUCUUGCUGCAAGCCUGAGGAAUCGCAAUGUCCAUUCCCAUGGUAGCUUUGAUACAACAGCAAAAAAAAGAAAAAGUUUAGGGAGCUUGGAGCCUGUCAGACAGCCAAGAGACCAUCCCAGCCAUGAACCCAUGGCUGAGAACGAUCCUCUACGGCUCAGCCCAGUGAAGGCAUGAGCUGUUAAUCACGCUCUAGUCUCUUGGCUAUAGUUCAUCCACCAGGCUUGGUUUCCUGUCUCCUUAGAACUCAAGGAUACAGAGGUACGAGCCUAUAGAACAGAUCCUGUUCAAGUAAGGUCGUGCCCUGUCGUUUCCUUCAGCAACUUAUGUUCAGGCAUCAACCUUCACAGGCUUCCGAUGUGGGACAUUUCUGUCGUUUAAACCUGUACUCCUAUGCGUUGUUUUUUGUUUUCAAGUAAAUGUCGUCUUAAUUCUUCUGAUCUUGAUGAAGUUUUGUUAUAAUGUUCAAGACUACUAUAGUACUACACACACACACACAUAUAUAUAUAUAGAGAGAGAGCAGACUGCAGAGGAGAAGGGGUGAGGGUGGGGGGUAGAGUCCUUAACCAAGUAUGACUUUAAGUUGUCCUUUACUUUGUAAGGUUCCCACUGUCCUGCAAGGCAAUUCUGUGCUUAAAUCCAUUCCUGUUUGAUGUUACACUUUAUCUGCCUACCAUCCACUGUUGUAUGCUUUGCAAGUUUUUUGUUGGCCUGGAGUUCUUAUUUGGUUUCUCAGUGACAUAUAUUGGGUGAGGUAGAGGCAGAAGGGAUUAUACAAUUUCUGCAGAUAAGCUAAGGUUUCUCCAGUCUCAAUUCAUGAAGAUUAGCAUAAGCAGCACUGAGACUGAAAAUUUGGAUGGAAAUGGCUUAUAAACAUUUUUCUUCUACUUUUACUAUAUGUUAUGGUACCUGUCUUCAUUAAAGAGGUGUAAAUUUGUUGAUUGAAAAUGCCUAAACUCAUUUGGUGUGUUUUGCUUUAUCAUUUACGAGUUACCAUUUUUUUUUUGGAUGAGGUGA